UGUCUAUAUAUAUAUAUAUGUGUGUGUGUGUGUAUAUAUAUAUACAUAUAUAUAUAUAUAUAUAUAUAUAUAUGUGUGUGUGUGUGUGUGUAUAUAUGUGUGUGUGUAUAUAUGUAUAUAAUGUCCUCUGUUGAAACUAUUUGCAUUCAUUAAUAGAUUAUAGCCCUCCAUCUCACACGACUUUCCCUUCCUCUGACUUCUGUACUAAGACAUAGAAUAACCUUUCCAUCCUGAACCUCACAGUAACACACAGACCGACCUUUCCACUUCUUAAUUCUUCUCUAGACUAGGCUACUUCUAACAUAGGUGUGCGAUGUACAGUAUAUACUCUGUGAUGUUCCCUUUAUGUCUAGACAAGCAUUACUUUGUAAUUAAUCUCACCACCAAGAACAAAUUUUAAAAACUGUUAGACAGGGGCGAACAAAUGUGAAUAGCUUGUGGUGGAACUCUGCCACCUUUGGCCAAUUAGCAAGUUAUACUCAUCCUACAUUGUCAAGUGAUUACAGCACAUUCACACGCAUGCAUACAUAUUGUAAGGUAACAUUCACACGCACACACACAUUGUAAGGUGACAAGAUGACUAUAUCACAUUCAUUCAUUGAAAGUAUCCAGUUUUUUUUUCUCGUCCUUUUACCUGGCUAUUAUGUCAUCAUGGAAUCUUUUUAUAAUCCAUCUGUUUGAAAUUACACUUUCCAUAUCUUCAUAUCAUUUCUUUCAAGAUGACAUUGGACAUUUUCUUAUUGCAAUAUAUUCUAUGGACGCUCUUCUUUAUUAAACGAUAAUAAUAAUAAUAAUUAUAAUAAUAAUAAUAAUAAUAAUAAUGAUAAUAAUAAUAAUAAUAAUAAUUGUUCAUGCUUCCUCUCCAACAUAACUUUUUUUUUUAUGGCAGAUCCUUAGAGAUAUUUAAGGAUGAAAAUAAAACUGUUUUUAUAAGCUCAAGAAAAAAAAAAUUAUCCAUCGAAAAAAAAAGACAUUUCUUUUCCAGAAAGUUCUAACCUUGGACGAUGAGGACGUUGGCUGAUUUUUCCAACUAGUCAUUGAUAAAUUUCAUCUAACUGCAGAUAUAUAUGUAUAUGUGUAUAUAUAUGGCCUCAUGGGAUUUCACUGAAAUGUAAAGAAAUGCUCCAUCUGGUUUCUUUUUCUUUUGUUUUUUUUUUUGUAAUCAUUUCAAUCAAAUUUUUAAAUUAUUUUAUCAAUUUAUUAAUCUCUCUCUCUCCCUCUCUCCUUCUCUCUCUCUCCUUUCAUAUUUUAAUGCCUCAGAAACUCAAGCCAUUUUACUCAUUGCAAUGUUGAAUAAAGUUUCAUUUAACAUUU